GAGUCUGCUUGAGUUUCCAUCUGUCUCCACGAUGAUAAAGUCAGUCGUUUUACACAGUCAUCGAGGGAGCCAGGCUCCCUCCUUCUCCCCUCCCAUCUGCAGCUCUAGAAUGCUGCUUUCAGUUUCGGCUGACAGGAUGCCUGCUGCUCCUGUAGGCGUUAUGACUGCCUUCAGGUGCCAAGAAAGGAAGGACCAGAUGCCAGAGGGGGCAUUUUCUUUCAAAGAGGUUACCCACAAGCCCCAGCCAUUGGAUUCUGCCCACGUCUCAUUGGCCAGAAAUGGAUCUCGUAGCUACUCCUAGUUGCAAGAGUGUCUGGGAGGAAGGGAGGGGUGGUGUGUGUUGAACUGGGCACUUUGCCUCUUUGAACCAAAUCAGAGGAGACUGGGUGGUAAACUAGCUGUGUCUGCCCGAACUAUAGCCAGUGUUUAUUUUCCUUUGGCCAUCUAUGUCUUUUCCUCACUUUAGGCAACACAGUGACCAGGUUUUCUUUCUGGAAAUGAACCUGCUUCCAUGAUGAGCAUUCCUCUUUUCCUGCCUUCCUGAAACCAAAGGAUGGUCCUUCAGGACUUUGCAUCCUGAACAAAAGAGACAAAGAUGGAAAAAUAGUUGGAGUACAUUCAUUCCAAGGGAUGAUCAAAAAAAUUAAGUACCCAGAUCCAGGUCAUUCAGAAACUGGAAAACUUGGAAUUCAAGCUCAGCCCUGACUACAAACAUGACUACUUGAAGAAGUUGUUAUGUUCACAUCAGCUCUGCAAACUGUUUUGGUGACCAAGUAUCUACCUGCUGCUGUUGCUGCUGUUAAGUCGCUUCAGUUGUGUCUGACCCAGUGCGACCCCAUAGAUGGCAGCCCACCAGGCCCCCCCUC